rnacentral:ncRNA from 1 species
ACCCAUAGGGGUGCCGUCAGAUGGCUCAUAAUGAGCACAAACGGCUGAGAACAGACCCUUAUAACUUGAUCCGGAUAAUACCGGCGAAAGGAAUGAAAUU